rnacentral:sRNA from 1 species
AUGCAGAAUAUCAAAUAUAAGACGGCAUCAAAGGAUGCAGUUGCGUAGUUCUCCUUCCCUCGUCUCUCCAACUUCCUACAUAGUUAUAUUUAAUGCCUACGAAUAAAACUUCUUCCAACGACAUGUUUUGUACUGUACAGUACUAGUACGCUUAUCGUACUCCCUUUCGCACACUCGGCAUGGCAGAAGGAGAUGAUCAGAAUCAAGACUCCCGUUUAGUCGCCGAAGCAUCUUUCUUUACUUUUCACUCUCCGCAUAUUCAUCACUGACACACCGGGCCCCAGUGCCCACUCCAUGAUCCACACCACACACACACACUCACACACACACACACUCACUCACUCACUCACAUAACUCCUCCCCCUUCCCCCACCCCCUUUUAUGUUCACUUUCACAAGCCAAAAUGCCAUUUCUCUUCCGGAGUCGCGUUUGCCUUUUUGUCUCCGCACCCAACCUAGUUGUGUGAAUGAAAGGGAGGGGUUGAACUAUUUCCAGAAAAAUACUAUCUUCUGAUUAUACUUUGCCUCCAAAGUUACUCCCUACACCCCUCCCUCAUCUAUAUCAAGAGAUACGGAAGGAGUCACAUUGCCCAGGCAAAGACGCGACAGCUGACGACGACGACGAUAGUGGUGGUGGUGAUGCCUCGCUUUUUUUUUUUUUUUUGCUGCCUGCCUGUCUGCCUGUCUGCCUGUCUUUUCUCGUCCAUGGGGCUUGAUUCUUGUUUUGCUUUCUCUGUAGCACCUCCGCUGGUUAUCCCUACUUUAUAUUCUGGACGCUCCUUUUAAUAAUAGUAAUAUUUGUUAUUGUUAUUGUGGUUGUUGUUGUUGUUCUCUGGGAACCCCAUCCCCCCAUUCUGCCUCAUUCUUCCUUCAGCGUAGCCCCAACAUGAUUACGGUAGCAGGACGCCGUUAGGUAGGCAAACAGCAAAACCUGAUUUUCUCUCUCCAGGGCUAUUAUAAGCUGGGUUAGUUCCUCACGGUGAGGGUGUGGGUGCGCGUGUCGGGAAGCGUAAUCUCUUGCUCUGUGAAUCUAUAUAAACUAGCACACACGCUUCAACGUGCCGAAUUAGCCCUACAAGACCAUUUUGUCCCCCAAACCAAUGUAUCUAUACAAUUUGUAUGACGUUUGGGAAAAAAUAAAAUAAAAAUAAAAAUACAAA